UGGGGAAUAUUGGACAAUGGGCGGAAGCCUGAUCCAGCCAUGCCGCGUGUGUGAAGAAGGCCUUUUGGUCGUAAAGCACUUUAAGCGAGGAGGAGGCUACUUGGAUUAAUACUCUAGGAUAGUGGACGUUACUCGCAGAAUAAGCACCGGCUAACUCUGUGCCAGCAGCCGCGGUAAUACAGAGGGUGCGAGCGUUAAUCGGAUUUACUGGGCGUAAAGCGUGCGUAGGCGGCUUCUUAAGUCGGAUGUGAAAUCCCUGAGCUUAACUUAGGAAUUGCAUUCGAUACUGGGAAGCUAGAGUAUGGGAGAGGAUGGUAGAAUUCCAGGUGUAGCGGUGAAAUGCGUAGAGAUCUGGAGGAAUACCGAUGGCGAAGGCAGCCAUCUGGCCUAAUACUGACGCUGAGGUACGAAAGCAUGGGGAGCAAACAGG
rnacentral:rRNA from 1 species